rnacentral:tRNA from 1 species
GGGGAUGUAGCUCAGUGGUAGAGCGUCCGCUUCGCAUGCGGAAGGCCCGGGGUUCGAUACCCUGCAUCUCCA